AGGAAAUAGUGCUCUACAAGUUCCUUUAACGUUAUCUGCAUUUUGUCUGGUAUUCUGUUGCGUACAGAUGUCGUCAAAGAAGACAACCACAACCGUUGACUGGAGUGACCCACCCAGAAGGCGCCGCCGUAUUCAGUGGCCGGUAAGUAUAAAAUCAACACUUGGAGUUUUUACUGUUUGAUUCGUUGCAUUAAUCAGUAUGUGCUCUUAUUAUAGAUUUCGUCUUCAUCAUCUGCGGAGGGCUCUCCAGCAAUGGCCAGCUCACCUGCCCAAUCGCCAGCGUCCAGGGGAGGUGGACCAAGCCCGGACCGGGGCUGUCAAGAACAAUCUGCACCUAGAGCCGCCAGCGAGGAUCCCCCAGUCGCCUCCAGAGUCCGCGGGAAUGAGCGUGGCGGUCGUAGACGUGGUUCCGUAGGCUCCACCAGGGAAGAUGAGGAGUUCGGGG